rnacentral:lncRNA from 1 species
AAUGUAAUAACUUGAAUAAUGAGAAGGUAAGGAUUUCUUAGGAUUAUUACUUCAAGAGGCUCAAAUUUUCCUAAAUAGCUUAAAACAAGUUAAAUACUUUCAUGGAUGUGUGAAUAAAUUAGAAACUUUGCUCAUUGUUUGAUAUAUCAAUAUAGCAUAAUUGUUAUAACCACUUUGUAGUAUUUUUGGGCGCCUGUUGGUGUGUUUGUUUGGCCUGUGAUGCUUUGAUUUGGCUAAGUUGUUAUAGCAGCAUUUUUUAGCUUGUCAUGUAGGUGUUUUUGAGGGGCUUUGCUGUCAUGUAGCUCUGUCAUUUUUUAACUGCAUUUUUUGUUAAAAAAUUCAUGAAUAAAUUUAAAAAAAAUGGCUUAAAUAUGAAAAUUGUCCCUGCAAAUAUCUAACAUUUUGGUUUUUAGUCCCUGUAAAAAUAUUUUUUUGGUUUUAGUCCCUGCAAAUAUAAAAAAUUUGGUUUUGGUCCUUGGUAUUUUGUUUUAG